GACGUAGGGCGCGAGCGUUGUCCGGAUUUAUUAGGCGUAAAGAGCUCGUAGGCGGCUUGUCGCGUCGUCCGUGAAAACUUGGGGCUCAACCCCAAGCUUGCGGUCGAUACGGGCAGGCUCGAGUUCGGUAGGGGAGGACUGGAAUUCCUGGUGUAGCGGUGAAAUGCGCAGAUAUCAGGAGGAACACCGGUGGCGAAGGCGGGUCUCUGGGCCGAUACUGACGCUGAGGAGCGAAAGCGUGGGGAGCGAACAGG
rnacentral:rRNA from 1 species